rnacentral:rRNA from 1 species
UACGUAGGUGGCAAGCGUUGUCCGGAUUUACUGGGUGUAAAGGGCGUGUAGCCGGGUUGACAAGUCGGAUGUGAAAUCCUGCGGCUUAACCGCAGAACUGCAUUUGAAACUGUUGAUCUUGAGUACUGGAGAGGCAGACGGAAUUCCUAGUGUAGCGGUGAAAUGCGUAGAUAUUAGGAGGAACACCAGUGGCGAAGGCGGUCUGCUGGACAGCAACUGACGGUGAGGCGCGAAAGCGUGGGGAGCAAACAGG